rnacentral:rRNA from 1 species
GGGCCCGCACAAGCGGUGGAGCAUGUGGUUUAAUUCGAUGAUACGCGAGGAACCUUACCAGGGCUUAAAUGUUAGGUGACAGAUCUAGAAAUAGUAUUUUUCUUCGGACACUUAACAAGGUGCUGCAUGGUUGUCGUCAGCUCGUGCCGUGAGGUGUCAGGUUAAGUCCUAUAACGAGCGCAACCCCUGUUGUUAGUUGCCAGCGAGUAAUGUCGGGAACUCUAGCAAGACUGCCAGUGCAAACUGUGAGGAAGGUGGGGAUGACGUCAAAUCAUCACGGCCCUUACGUCCUGGGCUACACACGUGCUACAAUGGUAGGUACAGAGAGCAGCCAAUGCGCGAGCAUGAGCAAAUCUAUAAAAGUGCGUCGUAGUCCGGAUCGGAGUCUGCAACUCGACUCCGUGAAGUCGGAAUCGCUAGUAAUCGUGGAU